rnacentral:rRNA from 1 species
UCCGUUCGGGUGGGGAAGUAUCAACCGGAAACGGUUAGUUAAUUACCGCAUAAUGCAGCGGCUCGACAUCGAGACAGUUGUUAAAGCGGGGGAUCGCAAGACCUCGCGCCUGAAGAGAAGCCUGCGGCAGAUUAGCUAGUUGGUAAGGUAAUGGCUUACCAAGGCGACGAUCUGUAACCGGCCUGAGAGGGCGGUCGGUCACACUGACACUGAAUAACGGGUCAG